CAUCUACUCCCUCCGUUCCGAAUUACUUGUCUCGAAAAUGGAUGUAUCUAGAACUAAAAUACAUCUAGAUACAUCCAUUUUUGCGACAAGUAAUUCCGAACAGAGGGAGUACAUA
rnacentral:pre_miRNA from 1 species